UGUUGAAUGAAGAGUACAGGCAUUAGGUUUUUUUGUGUUUGAGGAUGAUGGGUGAAGGCGGUUUUUAGGGUUUUGUACGACGAUCUUAUUCCAUAUUAAAAUAAAGAUGAUAGACGAAGACGGUAGAAUUUUUCUGUUAGGGUUUCUCGACGAUGGGUGAGGACGAUAGGAUUUUCUAUAGUAAUUUUUUGGGCAUGCUUUAGGAUUUUUCAGGAAUGGAUCGGGCUUGACGCAAGGAAAGGGUUCAUGAUGGAAUAUUUACAAGGGAGAUCUUGCGGUGGAAACAAUUUACAAGAUUGUGAAGGUUGAUAACAAUUUCUUGGAUCCACGGUUUGUGCAACCAUUGAUUGUGAUAUCUACCAUCACUUGCAUGCAUACAAAUGUUAAGACACCUCUUUUGCAUUUUAAAUGUAUGUGCUAUUUUGUUCCCAUACAUUGUUCACUGCAUCAAUAUUGCUAGGGAAACACAUAUUGAAACUAAUUCAUUUCUCGUGGACUUGCGGUUUCCUAUAAAAUCACCCUUCAGAAUUUUCGAACUGACCCAGCUAUUAAAAGCUUUGUUGCUUUCAUAGGUUCGGGUGGAAAAACAACCUCAUAUGUGCUUUGCAAAAUUUGAUUACUAGAGAGGCAAGGCUAGAAAGUUUGCAUUCGUCUAUAAUCUUUGACUCCACAAAUGGAUGAAAUGCAUUAUAUAGACUCUCUACUCCACUGAGUUCUACAAAACUUGACCAUGUAGAAGGUAGGUAAAACCAACAGAAGCAGCUAAACUAUCCCAAGUGCCUAGAGAAGACCAACUGAGGUGUGCCAUACAAUGAUUCCAACUGAUCCUUGGGGUAUUAGGCAUAAUGUUUGAAUUAUCUGCUGAUUUCUAACUUAUCAAUGCCAUUAAAAAGUUAUCUUCCAUUUCCAUCUGCUUAAAGGUAUGUGUAAUUACUACUCUACUAUCAUUUGCUGCUUCAACAUUUACUCCUAUUUUUCUCAUCUUUUUAAGUGGACUCAGUGUUGCUAAAUUUGAGCUUUCAAACAUCUUUAAACACCUUUACACUCCUUCAUAAAUCAUAAUUCUGCUUUUUUAUUUGUCAUUACUUAACAAAUGCUUCAAAUUACAUGCUUACCUUGCUUUGCUUCACAAAUUUGUUAUCUUCAACUUUGUUUUUGGACUAAAAUUGCCAACCUAAUCUAGCCAUGCUAACACUACUAAGAAUUAUGUUUUUGAAUUAUGCAACCUAAGCCGUCAUGGCACGGAACUUGCCUGCAGCCAUCCUAAGAUAGAAUAUUUAAUUGAAUUGAACAUAUAAAAACUAUUCCAUUCCUACAACACUCUAUUUAAAACCCUACCAAAAUAUGAUGAGAUACUCAUUAUUGACUAUCAAAUAGAAUAUAAUUAAGAAUAUGCACUAGUAUAUGCAUGCAUGUACCUGUGUACUUCGUACUAAAAAUAAUCUAGAUUUUGUGUGCCUAUAUAUAUAUGGAGCAUUUGAAAAGACAAUAAAUAGAUUGCUUGUAUGGUGUACUUACAUUUGUAUAAAGGAUUUGCUUAUUUUAGAGUGUGAAAAUGCUCAUGAAGCUCUGCUAAAAUUGCAGCAUCUGCAUUCCAUAUCUUGGUUCAAUUUUCUUGCAUUUUCUUUCUCCAUGACUUCUCUGUUGUUGCAAUGCUAUUGUUUGCCUGCUGCUGGUCAUCUGGUAAAGCUAAACGCGGUUCAUUUCGCAUGAAACUUUAGAAGAAUAUUCCAUUCGAUUUUACAUGGGGAACAUCGUUAUGGAGUGGGAUUUUGAAUCCAAGCAUUGGAUUUUUGCAUUUUGGUAAAGGUGCAAAUUUAUGAAGAACCACUUGAAGAUCAAGAGAAGUUCUAGAGCAAUUGUUUUUAUUUUAUAUUAUUUUUUUUUUCCGUAUGUUAAUUCAAGUUAUAUGGAUUAUUGUAACUUAAAUAUACUUUAUCAUAGAAAUUAUGAUAAAAAAAUUGUAUAAACAGCUUAGGU